rnacentral:rRNA from 1 species
UACGGAGGGUGCAAGCGUUAUCCGGAUUCACUGGGUUUAAAGGGUGCGUAGGCGGGCUAUUAAGUCAGUGGUGAAAUCUUGGGGCUUAACUCCGAAACUGCCAUUGAUACUAUUAGUCUUGAAUAUUGUGGAGGUUAGCGGAAUAUGUCAUGUAGCGGUGAAAUGCUUAGAUAUGACAUAGAACACCGAUUGCGAAGGCAGCUGGCUACACAAAUAUUGACGCUGAGGCACGAAAGCGUGGGGAUCAAACAGG